GACGAACGCUGGCGGCGUGCUUAACACAUGCAAGUCGAGCGGUAAGGCCCUUUCGGGGGUACACGAGCGGCGAACGGGUGAGUAACACGUGGGUGACCUGCCCUCAGCUCUGGGAUAAGCCUGGGAAACCGGGUCUAAUACCGGAUAUGACUCCAUGACGCAUGUUGUGGGGUGGAAAGCCUUGUGCGGCUGAGGAUGGGCCCGCGGCCUAUCAGCUUGUUGGUGGGGUGANGGCCUACCAAGGCGACGACGGGUAGCCGGCCUGAGAGGGCGACCGGCCACACUGGGACUGAGACACGGCCCAGACUCCUACGGGAGGGCAGCAGUGGGGAAUCUUGCGCAAUGGGCGAAAGCCUGACGCAGCGACGCCGCGUGAGGGAUGACGGCC
rnacentral:rRNA from 1 species